GCCUGGGUGGCUCAGUCGGUUGAGCCCCGACUUCAGCUCAGGUCAUGAUCUCACGGUUUGUGAGUUCGAGCCCCGCCUCGGGCU
rnacentral:tRNA from 1 species